rnacentral:tRNA from 1 species
GGAGAGAUGUCCGAGUGGUCGAAGGAGCACGCCUGGAAAGUGUGUAAGCGCCGAAAGCGCUUCAUGGGUUCGAAUCCCAUUCUCUCCG